rnacentral:rRNA from 1 species
AUACGAAAGGUGCAAGCGUUGUUCGGAUUUACUGGGCGUAAAGAGAGUGUAGGUGGUUUAUUAAGUCGGAUGUGAAAUCCCGGGGCUCAACCUCGGAACUGCAUUCGAUACUGAUAGGCUAGAGUUUGGGAGGGGUAAGCGGAAUUCCGUGUGUGGCAGUGAAAUGCGUAGAUAUACGGAGGAACACCUGAGGCGAAGGCGGCUUACUGGACCAAUACUGACACUGAGACUCGAAAGCGUGGGUAGCAAACAGGAUUAGAAACCCUAGUAGUCC